GACGAACGCUGGCGGCGUGCUUAACACAUGCAAGUCGAACGGAAAGGCCCUGCUUUUGUGGGGUGCUCGAGUGGCGAACGGGUGAGUAACACGUGAGUAACCUGCCCUUGACUUUGGGAUAACUUCAGGAAACUGGGGCUAAUACCGGAUAGGAGCUCCUGCUGCACGGUGGGGGUUGGAAAGUUUCGGCGGUUGGGGAUGGACUCGCGGCUUAUCAGCUUGUUGGUGGGGUAGUGGCUUACCAAGGCUUUGACGGGUAGCCGGCCUGAGAGGGUGACCGGCCACAUGGGGACUGAGAUACGGCCCAGACUCCUACGGGAGGCAGCAGUGGGGAAUAUUGCACAAUGGGCGGAAGCCUGAUGAAGCAACGCCGCGUGCGGGAUGACGGCCUUCGGGUUGUAAACCGCUUUCGCCUGUGACGAAGCGUGAGUGACGGUAAUGGGUAAAGAAGCACCGGCUAACUACGU
rnacentral:rRNA from 1 species